CGCAGCUGACGAUUAAGCCGCGUGGAGGAUGAAGGUCUUCGGAUCGUAAACUCCUGUUGCCCGGGACGAAAAGCUUCGACCUAACACGUCGAGGUCUGACGGUACCGGGUGAGGAAGCCCCGGCUAACUCUGUGCCAGCAGCCGCGGUAAUACAGAGGGGGCAAGCGUUGUCCGGAAUUACUGGGCGUAAAGGGCGCGUAGGCGGCCUGUUAAGUCGAACGUGAAAUCCCCGAGCUCAACUCGGGAACUGCGUCCGAUACUGGCAGGCUUGAAUCCGGGAGAGGGAUGUGGAAUUCCAGGUGUAGCGGUGAAAUGCGUAGAUAUCUGGAGGAACACCGGUGGCGAAGGCGGCAUCCUGGACCGGUAUUGACGCUGAGGCGCGAAAGCCAGGGGAGCAAACGGGAUUAGAUACCCCGGUAGUCCUGGCCCUAAACGAUGAAUGCUUGGUGUGGUGGGUAUCGAUCCCUGCCGUGCCGAAGCUAACGCAUUAAGCAUUCCGCCUGGGGAGUACGGUCG
rnacentral:rRNA from 1 species